rnacentral:rRNA from 1 species
UACAGAGGUCCCAAGCGUUGUUCGGAUUCAUUGGGCGUAAAGGGUGCGUAGGCGGCGCGGUAAGUCGGGUGUGAAAUCUCGGAGCUUAACUCCGAAACUGCAUUCGAUACUGCCUUGCUCGAGGACUGGAGAGGAGAUUGGAAUUCACGGUGUAGCAGUGAAAUGCGUAGAUAUCGUGAGGAAGACCAGUGGCGAAGGCGGAUCUCUGGACAGUUCCUGACGCUGAGGCACGAAGGCCAGGGGAGCAAACGGG